GAACCCUUAACACUUGUAAUCAGAUUCCAGGGCCGUCCCCAUACCCCGUCCGAUAUGGGCGCCAAAAUUAUAAACCUCAAUACCCCGUCCGGUAUGAGGGUGAAAUGGGCCGUCCUCACACCCCGUCCGGUAUGGGCGCCAAAAUACAUAAGGUCUCCAUACCCCGUCCGGUAUGAGAGACCACAAUCCCGAUAGGGUUCCUUACGGACCGGUCCGUCCACCAUCUCCCAAGAUACCUAGUCAGGCUGUCCACAUUAUUCGUUUGCCAAUUCACAUAACUUUUUAUCCCUUUUUCUUUAGUCACCAUCAUCAAAUCACACACAAACAUGCAAACCGGUAGUUCACGCCAACAAGACAACACACAACAUCGGGUUCUCAGUCAUUCAGUCCAUAAUCAAUGAAACAGUGAUACAUGCACACGAAACUAUGAAAUAAAAACAUCAGACAUCAUAUUGUAUUUAAAACUGUAAAAUAGAACAAACAACAACUGACCGACAAAUGCACUAGACUCGGGCUCCAUUAGCAACCUUAAACAAUUUCACACAGCUAUUGAUUCAUGAAAUACCAUUUUAUCAUUUAUUGCACUUUAAUACCGUAAUAGGAAAUAGGGUGAGGAAUCCUUACUUGAUUCGGGGUCCGAAUACGGCUCUACAGUGCGCCUACAGGCUGUACCUAAUUUUUCCUGAAUUUUUUCCAGGGAACUGAAACGCACUACUGGUACCUGCACGUGUCCCAAAAAAUCCCAAAUGAGAUCCAAGGCCCCUUUCGGCCAAUAUCACAAUUUCGGCACAGCGGCUCCGCCAUGCUCUGGCGACGGCGAUUCGCCUCGGGUUGGUCGUUUUCGGUCGUUUCUGACCGAAUUCGGCCACACUUGCAUCGGUCCCUGCGAUAAAACAACCCUAGGGCCCUCGGGGGGCCAAAAAAUUACGAAAAACCGAAGCUUACCGGCGGCAGUGCUCUCGGGUGCGGCGACUCUCCGGCGAGGUUCGUGUUUUGGUGAUUUGGCUCCGAUCAACCUGUAGAGAGAAGAAUGGUGAUCACGGUAAUAUAAAAAUUGUAUCAAACGGAGGCCGGGAAGGGCCUCAUCGGAGGCAAAAACCGAGGAGGGGCGCGGCGGCGCCGCU
rnacentral:lncRNA from 1 species